UGCCAGCAGCCGCGGUAAUACGGAGGGGGCUAGCGUUGUCCGGAUUUACUGGGUGUAAAGGGCGCGCAGGCGGAUUUGUCAGUCAGGGGUGAAAUCCUACAGCUUAACUGUAGAACUGCCUUUGAUACUGGUAGUCUAGAGUUCGAGAGAGGUGAGUGGAAUUCCGAGUGUAGAGGUGAAAUUCGUAGAUAUUCGGAGGAACACCAGUGGCGAAGGCGGCUCACUGGCUCGAUACUGACGCUGAGGUGCGAAAGCGUGGGGAGCAAACAGGAUUAGAUA
rnacentral:rRNA from 1 species